rnacentral:rRNA from 1 species
AGCGAACGCUGGCGGCAGGCCUAACACAUGCAAGUCGAACGAACCUUUCGGGGUUAGUGGCGGACGGGUGAGUAACACGUGGGAACGUGCCUUUAGGUUCGGAAUAACUCAGGGAAACUUGUGCUAAUACCGAAUGUGCCCUUCGGGGGAAAGAUUUAUCGCCUUUAGAGCGGCCCGCGUCUGAUUAGCUAGUUGGUUGCGGUAAUGGCUCACCAAGGCGACGAUCAGUAGCUGGUCUGAGAGGAUGAUCAGCCACAUUGGGACUGAGACACGGCCCAAACUCCUACGGGAGGCAGCAGUGGGGAAUCUUGCGCAAUGGGCGAAAGCCUGACGCAGCCAUGCCGCGUGAAUGAUGAAGGUCUUAGGAUUGGAAAAUUCUUUCACCGGGGACGAUAAUGACGGUACCCGGAGAAGAAGCCCCGGCUAACUUCGUG